CAUUUAACUCAAAUUGGUCGACUUCUGCAACUCUAUGGUCAAAGAGGAUUAAAUCAUCUUGCCACCAAGGGCAUGAAACUUUCAUGACUUCAUUUAGGACAGUGGAAACCCUUUGAAUUUUGUUUAUAUAUUUUUUUAGUGGUUGAAUCUUGUAAAGAUCAGGUUUAGGAGUUUGGUCUACUAUGUAGAGAGAUCUUCUAGACAUGUCUAGAACAAAAAGAUUAUAAA
rnacentral:lncRNA from 1 species